rnacentral:lncRNA from 1 species
CGAUGGAAAUCCCCCAUAUUUGCCAUACUGCAUACUAUCAUCCUCCCAAGAGAUGCUCAGACCUCUGGUCCCAGUGGUGAUCGUGGUGCCCAGGACAGCAGAGUUCAUGGAGCACUUGGCAUGUGUCCAGCCCUCUUUUCAUUGAAAUUGUAUUGAAAUUCCAAGUGCUGCUUGGAGCGGUCAUUAAUCUGGGAGGCGGAAGAAACCAGAUUCCAGGAAUAUGUCAG